UGCCCAUAUAACACUGGAAAACAGGUGCUAAUACCGUAUAACACUAUUUUCCGCAUGGAAGAAAGUUGAAAGGCGCUUUUGCGUCACUGAUGGAUGGACCCGCGGUGCAUUAGCUAGUUGGUGAGGUAACGGCUCACCAAGGCCACGAUGCAUAGCCGACCUGAGAGGGUGAUCGGCCACACUGGGACUGAGACACGGCCCAGACUCCUACGGGAGGCAGCAGUAGGGAAUCUUCGGCAAUGGACGAAAGUCUGACCGAGCAACGCCGCGUGAGUGAAGAAGGUUUUCGGAUCGUAAAACUCUGUUGUUAGAGAAGAACAAGGAUGAGAGUAGAACGUUCAUCCCUUGACGGUAUCUAACCAGAAAGCCACGGCUAACUACGUGCCAGCAGCCGCGGUAAUACGUAGGUGGCAAGCGUUGUCCGGAUUUAUUGGGCGUAAAGCGAGCGCAGGCGGUUUCUUAAGUCUGAUGUGAAAGCCCCCGGCUCAACCGGGGAGGGUCAUUGGAAACUGGGAGACUUGAGUGCAGAAGAGGAGAGUGGAAUUCCAUGUGUAGCGGUGAAAUGCGUAGAUAUAUGGAGGAACACCAGUGGCGAAGGCGGCUCUCUGGUCUGUAACUGACGCUGAGGCUCGAAAGCGUGGGGAGCGAACAGGAUUAGAUACCCUGGUAGUCCACGCCGUAAACGAUGAGUGCUAAGUG
rnacentral:rRNA from 1 species